rnacentral:rRNA from 1 species
UACGUAGGGGGCGAGCGUUACCCGGAUUUAUUGGGCGUAAAGAGCGUGUAGGCGGCCAUACAGGUCAGCUGUGAAAACUCGAGGCUCAACCUCGAGACGUCGGUUGAAACCGUAUGGCUAGAGUCCGGAAGAGGAGAGUGGAAUUCCCGGUGUAGCGGUGAAAUGCGCAGAUAUCGGGAAGAACACCCGUGGCGAAGGCGGCUCUCUGGGACGGUACUGACGCUGAGACGCGAAAGCGUGGGGAGCGAACAGG